UACGGAGGGUGCAAGCGUUAUCCGGAUUUACUGGGUUUAAAGGGUGCGUAGGUGGGCAGGUAAGUCAGUGGUGAAAUCUCCGGGCUUAACUCGGAAACUGCCAUUGAUACUAUUUGUCUUGAAUAUCCUGGAGGUAAGCGGAAUAUGUCAUGUAGCGGUGAAAUGCUUAGAUAUGACAUAGAACACCCAUUGCGAAGGCAGCUUACUACGGGAUUAUUGACACUGAGGCACGAAAGCGUGGGGGAUCAAACAGG
rnacentral:rRNA from 1 species